CACGUAGGGCGCGAGCGUUGUCCGGAAUUAUUGGGCGUAAAGAGCUCGUAGGCGGCCUGUUGCGUCCGCUGUGAAAGCCCGGGGCUUAACCCCGGGUCGGCAGUGGAUACGGGCAGGCUAGAGGUAGGUAGGGGAGAAUGGAAUUCCCGGUGUAGCGGUGAAAUGCGCAGAUAUCGGGAGGAACACCGGUGGCGAAGGCGGCGAUCUGGGUAGAUACUGACGCUGAGGUGCGAAAGCGUGGGGAGCAAACAGG
rnacentral:rRNA from 1 species